rnacentral:tRNA from 1 species
GCGGUCGUGGCGGAAUGGCAGACGCGCACGCUUGAGGGGCGUGUGGGGGUUACCCCGUGGAAGUUCGAGUCUUCUCGACCGCA